GAUGAACGCUGGCGGCGUGCCUAAUACAUGCAAGUCGAACGAAACUUCUUUAUCACCGAGUGCUUGCACUCACCGAUAAAGAGUUGAGUGGCGAACGGGUGAGUAACACGUGGGCAACCUGCCCAAAAGAGGGGGAUAACACUCGGAAACAGGUGCUAAUACCGCAUAACCAUAGUUACCGCAUGGUAACUAUGUAAAAGGUGGCUAUACUACCGCUUUUGGAUGGGCCCGCGGCGCAUUAGCUAGUUGGUAGGGUAAAGGCUUACCAAGGCAAUGAUGCGUAGCCGAAUUGAGAGGUUGAUCGGCCACAUUGGGACUGAGACACGGCCCAAACUCCUACGGGAGGCAGCAGUAGGGAAUCUUCCACAAUGGGCGAAAGCCUGAUGAAGCAACGCCGCGUGGGUGAAGAAGGUCUUCGGAUCGUAAAACCCUGUUGUUAGAGAAGAAAGUGCGUGAGAGUAACUGUUCACGUUUCGACGGUAUCUAACCAGAAAGCCACGGCUAACUACGUG
rnacentral:rRNA from 1 species